UCUGUCUUUCUGCUGUGCAUUUCGCUUUAAAAACUCUCCUAUUGCAAAGUUGUCAAGUCAAAAGUAGUAUCCUCUUUGUGUGAUGUCAGCUUUUAGCCACAUCACAAAAGCAAGAUAAGUGCUAUUUAGGAGUGUGUGGAUUACCACAGACCUGUGAACAAAACUGAAAUGACAUCGCUCUUUUGACUGCAUUCAUCUGCUUCCAAAAUAGACAAUAGUAAGAAUCACUGCAUGCUUUUCAUAUGAAUUUGAAAACUGUGGUGAAUGCACAAAACAUACUUGUUUGACAGCUUUAAUGAUAAAAGUAUGUGCAACUCUAAAAGUUAUAAAGCACGUGAAAAACAUUAGUUAGUGCUGCAAAAGAGGCAUUAACCAGAAUAGCAUAUAUUAUGUAUUUAUUGGACUUAUUUGGUUUGUUUUAUUAAUAGUACAAAGUCAAACCGCCUUUUAACAGAUUAUUAAUUUUCUGAUAAAAUUAGAAAGUAAUGAUAUUUUCAGCAAAACAUUAAAAACUUGCUGUUUUUUUUUCCAAUACGGACCUUAAUUUUUGUUAUUUAUCUGAGCCCAUGUACUGAUGAUAAAGUGCAUAAGGUGAAAAAAAAAAGGAGUCGUGAGUUGCACUUCCUCACUUGCAUCCAUAGGUGGAGACAUUGCCUUCUCCAGUUUGUCACUGACAACAUUAUUGAGGGAGCGCUCACUGAAAUGAGCAGAUUCCUCAGGACAAAAGACAAAAUAUUUUGACAAGCAGAGAGGAGGCUCAUUGUUACCCACAUUUUAGAAGUGGGAUAUCCAGACAUUUCCAAACGCUAAAAAUUGCUAAUACUGCUACACCUCAAACAGGAUUUUCCCCUGGAGUAAUAAUGAUUGAUUGCAUAUGACAUUAAUAUUCCUUAACCAUACACCUUUUAGUAUUUAUGGAGGGGUGGGGGGCUAGGUUACGCUCUGGUGGUGCCAGUUCAAUAACGGUGUUUGGCAGAUGUGCCUCUGUUCUGAAAUAGAGAGGUAAUGUUUGACAUGGGUCUCAUCCUGCAUGAACUGAUGCCUGUUGACAGAGUGACUAAAUCCAUCCAGCAGACUAUUCUGCAGAGGUUAUCCCAGAAGGCUAAUCAGCAGUGAUAUGUGUGAAAAGGUGAUGAGCCUCUUAUGAAAUACUAAUUGGGAUGCAUGCAGAAGACCUUGGAAAGCAGGACUGUGAAAAAAACAUACUUAGUUUGAGUUUUAAAGAGUUAAAAAAAGAAAACUUGAAUUAAUCUUUGAACAGCAGUGUAAAUAUAAGGGUGAAGAGCCAAAGAGUGAGGGAUGUUCCGACAGGGAGAGGACAUCUGUGCUUAGAGAAUUUGAAGGCAAAUUGAUCUUGACACUCGUGUCCCCUGUAUCUCCCUCGUGAGCCAAAUCCCCGUUCACAUGGUCAUCCCUGCAACCCAAGACAUCCCCUGUCUCUUUAGAUUAAGCAACGUGAUAGGGAGAGGCCAGAUAAUGCUCCAGUCAACUUUCCCUGCCCUUUCCCCUCUCUCUUCAGGCUUUUUAUUCCUCUCUUGACCCUCAUCAGUUACAAAAUCCCUUCAACUAGGAUGCUAAAGUAGCAGAAAAUAUCCCUGCUCCCUCUUGGUUUUCCUCUUUAUCUCUUAUUGAACUGACAGACUCUAUCUGACCGAGAGGACUGACGUGUGUGGGACACUUUGAGGUGAAAUGGCGGUGAGGAAGUGCAGCUCAUACAGUCUUAUCAGCACAAAGGCCAUGAAACAACAGGCGCCUAAUCUGACUCUGCUGCUGAUGAAUUGGCGAGAUUUCUGCUUAGGAGUAAAUUCUGACAAACCCUGAGAUAAGUACGCACACACACACACACACACACACACACACACGCUGAGAUCUACACACAUGGGCAGGGACACACAAAUAAACCCAGAGUCCCAGUUUUGGAGGCGUCCUCCCUCUCCUUGUCACUCUGCUCUGCCUGUCAUCGUCUUUUACUUUGCUGCAACUUUUGUGAUUAAUUACAUGUUUGGGAGAGGUGUAAGUUAACAGGAGACUCUUACCACAGCAGUCUUCUAACUCUGUGUUCAGCUGUCUUUCUUUACUCUACCUGCAAGCAUCUGUGUUCAAGAGUGAGCUAGCAGGACAAGUUUUUGGCUCAUCGCUCUCCAGGCCAUUACAAGAAUGCCGGUAUCACCCUGUCUCCCGCUAAAGAGAUAAGAUUUAUGCAAUUUUGCCGAGGGGCUGCCUGGUUGGAUCUUCUCCUCUCCAAAGUUCUGUGAGUACCCACAAUGCUCUGCUUUCGUAAAGGUUUGGCAGCGCUCAGCCAUGCCGUGUUAUUCUUAAAAUACUUAAGAUGCUGCUGUUUUUCUCUUCCCUUGCUGAAGUACAGAUCAGUGUUCGUAAGCACCUGAACGCAGGAGCACUGACUGAGAAAAUGGAUCUCAUUUUCUCUUUCGGCUCUUUGUUCUGCAGGGGCAACAGUUACCACAGGCAACAUUUCAUCUGUUGGAUCAAACAUUACCCUGCCGGCGAUAAAGACUCCAUUGCAACCCUUGGUGGUGCAUCAAAAUGUGAAUCCAGCGCUGAUGCUGCUGUUUGCCUGUGAGAUGAUCUCAAUGCUACGACUGUUAUCUGGGAAGAAUUUCUCUCAACUCUUCUGCCUCCUCAACAUAAAUCAGCUUUAGCCUGGUGAUAAUUCCAUCUGCUAUAAGUCUUUAUUAAACCUUUGCUGUUAGACAUUUCUCUUGUUCUUGACAUUGUCAUUUUCUGUUUUCUCUUUUAAGAUAAUCUUCAAAACCGCUGGAGAAGAUAACGCCUCGCAAGCUCCUGAUGGCUGAAGCCAAGAUUUUACUGUCAGCAUAGAAACCGGCCCAUUAACUUCUGAAGCCCUCUUUGGCAAAGCUCCCUCUCCCCUCUAUUGCCAUCAAAAAGCUAUUUCCCUUGGCCAGACCCACACAGCCCUAACAAUGAACAGAGGAUUAGAACAUCUCUCUGUCUUGGAGGGAAAAAAAGCAAGAAUGGAUUUUAAAAAAUCUCUUUUUAUCAGUCAUUGGUGGGGACAAAAGUUGGCAGCAUUUCCUCUACAGGAUUUUUCCCGAUAGGAUUUCCAAGAGGCGGUUUUGCUUUUACGACACCAUUCCUGUGCUUGUAAUCAGCCAACAUGUGGCAUUGUGAUCCAAUCACACAGAUUUUCCCCCUUCAGUCACUAAAUGGUUAAGUCUCUCAGUCUUUUGUUCAAGAAUCUUCA